GGAAGACUUAAGAUGGCGGCGUUUGCACGGAGUGCAAUCACUGCGUCCUUACGGGGGUUGCAAGGCGUCCGAAGUAUGAGUCCACUAACAAAAGUCCAGAAACUCGCCAGUUAAUAGUAUUGUGUCUCUUCAAAAUAUCGGAGAAUAAUUUCUUUCUCGCUGAUCGCCUAACUUCUACUGACGAAGCUUGGAAGUUGCAGAAGGUUGGAGUGCAAUGGCGCGAUCUCGGCUGACUGCAACCUCCACCUCCUGGAUUCAAGCUAUUCUCCUGCCUCAGCCUGCCGAGUAGCUGGGAUUACAGGCAUGUGCCACCGCACCCAGCUAAUUUUGUAUUUUUUAGUAGAGAUGGGGUUUCUCCAUGUUGGUCAGGCUGGUCUUGAACUCCUGACCUCAGGUGAUCCGCCCACCUCAGCCUCCCAAAGUGCUGGGAUUACAGGCGUGAGCCACCGCGCCCGGCCAGAACAUUAGUUUUAAACUUCCUAACCCUUGGGAGAAGGCAAAACACUUGAUGAAAUCUACAUAAAGACUAAAACAUUUUACCAAUUUUGCAUUGUUUGUUUGAAAUUGCAUUGACGACUGCCAGACAUGAUGUAUUGAGUAAAAGGAACUUCGGUACACAGGCCUUUAGUGAUGUGGUGGUAAGAUGUAUGGUACUGGCUCCUGUAUCACCCAGCUCUGGAGUUGAAAGAGCUCUUCAUUCCUGAGUCUCCUGUACCACUGAGAAUAGAAAUACAAAAAAAAUUCUAAAACUUGUAUGGAACUACAAAAGACAUUAAAUAAUCAAAGUAAUCUUGAGCAACAAGGACACAGCUGGAGGCAUCACUCUACCUGAUUUUGUAAUCCAUUAUCAAAAAACUGUGGUACCAGCAUAAAAACAGAUUCACUGACCAGUGGAACAGGAAAGCCCAGACAUAACUCAUACAUUUCCAUCCAAUUGAUUUUUGACAAAAGUGGCACACAGAAUGGGGAGAGGACAAAUAAAUAAAUAAAUUGUUUUGAGAUAUCUGUAUAUCUAUAUGUGAAAUUGAACCAUUUUCUCAUAGCAUAUAGAAAAAUCAACUCAAAAUGGAUUAAAGCCUGAAAUGUUGCCUUUGAAACUGUAAAACUACUAGUAGAAAAUAUAGGGGAAAAG
rnacentral:lncRNA from 1 species